rnacentral:rRNA from 1 species
CAACUUUCAACAACGGAUCUCUUGGCUCUCGCAUCGAUGAAGAACGCAGCGAAAUGCGAUAAGUAAUGUGAAUUGCAGAUUUUCAGUGAAUCAUCGAAUCUUUGAACGCACCUUGCGCCCCUUGGUAUUCCGAGGGGCAUGCCUGUUUGA